rnacentral:sRNA from 1 species
GCAGAAGCAGAAGCAACACAGAAAGAAGAUACCAACAGCCUCCUGAAACUCACGAGAGUGGACACUCCAGUGUUGACCACCUAAGAUACCACUCCUGCUCCAAAGAUUACAGCUCCCUUGUCAUUCUGACUCCUGGGCUUACCCUACACCCCAGAGAUGGAGCAACUACUAGGAAUAAAACUUGGCUGCCUGUUUGCCCUGUUGGCUCUCACUCUGGGCUGUGGCCUCACUCCCAUCUGCUUCAAAUGGUUCCAGAUUGAUGCAGCCAGAGGUCAUCACCGGCGAGUCCUCAGACUCCUGGGCUGUAUUUCUGCUGGUGUUUUCCUGGGAGCAGGAUUCAUGCAUAUGACUGCUGAAGCCCUGGAGGAAAUUGAAUCACAGAUUCAGAAGUUCAUGGUGCAGGUGAGAGCAGAGAUUUCAAGCCGCAGGUCUAUGAGGCCAAAACGAUAAACAGGACAAAGGGAAGAGAGCGGGAAAGUGAUGGAGCCAAGGACAUGGGUGGAACGACAAGGAAAAUGACAGCUCUUUUGUGGGAUGGUGAAAGCAAGUCAGAUUAGGCUUUA